ACAGACCUCUCUGGUGAUGUGAAAUAUCAUUGUGUGAACUUCCAUGGAAAGGGAAAGAACACCGGUUUUGUUGCAUAUGGCAGAAGUGACAAUGGGGACUUGCAGUUUAACAAGCCCUCUACACAGGAAACAAAAGUAAUUCUAAAUUAACAUAACUAAUUAGCAGCCUUAGAUAACGUAAUUGCUAUGCAGAACUUCACAGUUUUAGUUAGCAUUAUGUAUUAACUACUAUGUAAUUAUUAAGGCACCACACUCAGCACCAGCAACUUAAUUAUCAUUAGUAUUGCGCCAGUCUCAAGCUUGAAUGCUGACGAUUAAUAAACCACAAUUAUUUAUACUGUAAUUGUGUCAUUUUAAUUAAACUGAAAAUGCACUUCGUUUGCUUUUUGUUACAAUGUUAAUUUUUUAAAUUAAGGUCAGGUCUUUUCGUCAAGCUCUUUUUUUUUUUUUAAUCUCUAAUUGCAAGUUAGAUAGACUGAUCUCUUGUCAUCCUGAGAAAACAUUGUGACUGUUGGUGACAAGUGAAUUUUGGGGUAAUAAAACAACCUCAGUGCUCUCGAGUUAUGCCAUCUCAAUGCCAAUAAACAAUAUCUUGAUAUGUUAUUUCCAUGAUUGUUAAGUAACCUCAAUAUAUGUAAAUCCCAUUUAAUUUUCUUUUAGAAUUAGUCUCUGCAAGGGUCGUUUUUUUAUUACAUUAUGACAAUGCUUAGUGGGCCCUGUUGAAAACAGAGAAUUUACAGACCAACAAGACCAAAGUUGAAGUGUAGGCUUACCAAUGUAAAAUUAUCUGCUCAUUGUCACCUAAUAUGUCACUGCCACAGCCAGGAACAGAGUCAAGGCCUCCCAGCUCUUAUUUCCGUGUUCUGCCUGCUAGAUCACAUUGCUCCUCAUGUUAGUAAGUUGAGAAAUGCCAAGUGUGUGGUGAGGCAGAGCCUUAGUCCCUAUUUUCAUAACAGGGUUCCUGGCCUUAGUAAUAAUUAAAGAUUUUUUUUAAUGCAUUUUUGUAACUCCUCUGACUUCAGGGGAUUUCUUUUUUAUUUACACAAGAUGGAUCAGGCCCAGGAUUAAUAGCUUUCCUCAGAGUGCUUGAGUACAGCAAUAUUUGCUUAUAUAGAGGAGGAAUGAUUUCCCUGCCAUUACCCAGAUAAAUUUACUAUGAAUUUGCAGCAAGUUCUGCCCCAGUUUUUGCCCUCUGAGAGACUCUCAGUGCUAACCAUUAGAAACUUUAUAGGUAAGCUUCAGUUUCUUUUUAUAUAGCCAGAAUUUAACUUAACUCAAAAUGUCAGUGUGUUUGCCUUGAGGGAGAAUAGAAAGGAGAAUUACCUAGUCCAUUUCAGGGAUUAGUCUUACUUGUGCUUUCUUUAUUGCAGUAUCUUCCAAGUUACAGGGCUGGAAGCCCAGAGGUUAAAUGGAUGAACACUGGAUCAAAAGCAAGGCUUUUGGGAGCACAGUGAGUGAGGAUUUGUCAGGUGGACUGACUGAAAGCCAUGACAGACAGAAAACAAAUACUGGAAAAUAUCCAAAGGGGGAAAAAUAUUCUGUCAGUUCAGGAAAGAAACAGGUUAUGGAAAGGAGGCUGCUUUGGGAUGGGCUGCUUAAAACAAAAGCAAGGAAUUACCGGACUUUGGAAGUUGAAGGAAGCAAACAUGGAAGCUAAGAAGAGGGAAGAGAAUAAAAUGUUAUAAUUGCAGUGCCACUUAAAUGUUAUCUACAUGUCUGAACAACAGUGAAAUGACUGACCGCCAAGAAAGGGGAAACCAAUUGCCUAUCCAUAGAGACAGUACAGGUAUCUCUGGAGCUGUAUGUUAAACUUGUGAUGAAACAAACAGCAAAACCAGAGGCCUCGGUGCUUGCCUCCUUUCUGUCUUUGGAAAUCAAUGGGAAUACAGUGCUGUAACUCUAAGUUACUAAUGAAGUGAGAUGGAUAUUUUUACAGAUGAGUUCUAACCCACAAGGUAUAUUUUGUCUUUCUUAAUGUAAGUGGGAUAAAUGGAAAAACCAAUGAAAUAUCUCUUCUGUGGCCUCUCUCACCCUGUGCCUUGCAAGUUCUGGGACUGCUAGUGACAGUCUCUGUGAAUUAUCUGCUGGGGUGAUGUUGUUCUGACCUGUAAUAACAAGAUCUGUCAUUAUGAAAUCAACUAGCUCCAUCUCAAAGGGCUGUGCGAAGAAAAGAGACAGCGGAAAGUCACCCAGCUGAUGACAAACCGUGUCAAUUCCACAGGCUUUUAUCUUAUGUUUUGAUAGUGAAUUACAAGAUAAACAUUCUCUUACAUGUAAGUGCAUAAAGAAUAAAGAUGGCAUUCGGAAUUUUGCUCUUUAUGAAGCCCUCAAAACGACAACCUAUUUACCGUGGCCAUUUUCUUAGGAUUUCCUGAAAUUCUGGACACUCAAAAAAGAAUGACAGUAAAGAUGUAAAAAGAUCAUGGAGGAAAAGGCUGAGAAAA